GAUUUACUGGGCGUAAAGAGCGCGCAGGCGGUCGUUCAAGUCGCGUGUGAAAGCCCCCGGCUCCAACUGGGGAGGGUCACGCGAUACUGAUCGACUCGAAGGCAGGAGAGGGUAGUGGAAUUCCCGGUGUAGUGGUGAAAUGCGUAGAUAUCGGGAGGAACACCGGUGGCGAAGGCGGCCACCUGGACGGUAACUGACGCUGAGACGCGAAAAGCGUGGGGGAGCAAACAGG
rnacentral:rRNA from 1 species